rnacentral:rRNA from 1 species
CCCCGCAGAAGGUUCCUCGAGAACCCCUGCGCUCGGAGAACUUCUGCACAUACCUCCCCAAAGAGACCCUUCCUUCAGCUCCUGCGCGAAGAACCAGCCUGCCUGCCAACCUUGCUGGAGGCCGGUACGUGCGCUCAGAGCUAACCGGGAGGGGAGAAGCUGUGAGGCCUUCCGGAAAACGUCCGUCCGCCAGCCCGAGCGCUAACCUCUCGGCACGCCUUCGAUAAAGCUAAAAAGCCGAUAAAGCUAAAAAGCGCUGUUUGAUGAGCCUGCGUAGUAUUAGGUAGUUGGUUAGGUAAAGGCUGACCAAG